rnacentral:rRNA from 1 species
GUUGUAUGGUUAAGUGACUAAGCGUACACGGUGGAUGCCUUGGCAGUCAGAGGCGAUGAAAGGCGUAAUAACUUGCGAUAAGCCCAGAUUAGGUAGUAAUAACCUUUUGAGUCUGGGAUUCCUGAAUGGGGAAACCCACUUACAUAAGUAAGUAUCCUGUUGUGAAUACAUAGCAACAGGAGGCAAACCGGGGGAACUGAAACAUCUAAGUACCCCGAGGAAGAGAAAUCAACCGAGAUUCCGAAAGUAGCGGCGAGCGAAAUUGGAUUAGCCCUUAAGCUUUUAAUGAUGCAGGUGAAGAGUCUGGAAAGUCUCGCAACAAAGGGUGAUAGCCCCGUAACCGACACAUCAUAAUCAGUGAAAACGAGUAGGGCGGGACACGUGAUAUCCUGUCUGAAUAUGGGGGGACCAUCCUCCAAGGCUAAAUACUACUGACUGACCGAUAGUGAACCAGUACCGUGAGGGAAAGGCGAAAAGAACCCCUGUGAGGGGAGUGAAAUAGAACCUGAAACCGUGUACGUACAAGCAGUAGGAGCACCUUCGUGGUGUGACUGCGUACCUUUUGUAUAAUGGGUCAGCGACUUAAUUUUAGUAGCAAGGUUAACCGUUUAGGGGAGCCGUAGGGAAACCGAGUCUUAACUGGGCGUACAGUUGCUAGGAUUAGACCCGAAACCAGGUGAUCUAGCCAUGGGCAGGUUGAAGGUUGAGUAACAUCAACUGGAGGACCGAACCGACUAAUGUUGAAAAAUUAGCGGAUGACUUGUGGCUAGGGGUGAAAGGCCAAUCAAACCUGGAGAUAGCUGGUUCUCCCCGAAAGCUAUUUAGGUAGCGCCUCGGACGAAUACUACUGGGGGUAGAGCACUGUUAAGGCUAGGGGGUCAUCCCGACUUACCAACCCUUUGCAAACUCCGAAUACCAGUAAGUACUAUCCGGGAGACACACGGCGGGUGCUAACGUCCGUCGUGGAGAGGGAAACAACCCAGACCGCCAGCUAAGGUCCCAAAGUAUAGCUAAGUGGGAAACGAUGUGGGAAGGCUCAGACAGCCAGGAUGUUGGCUUAGAAGCAGCCAUCAUUUAAAGAAAGCGUAAUAGCUCACUGGUCGAGUCGGCCUGCGCGGAAGAUGUAACGGGGCUAAGCUAUACACCGAAGCUGCGGCUACGUACCUUAGGGUAUGUGGGGUAGGGGAGCGUUCUGUAAGCCGUUGAAGGUGGUCUGUAAGGGCUGCUGGAGGUAUCAGAAGUGCGAAUGCUGACAUGAGUAACGAUAAAGGGAGUGAAAAACUCCCUCGCCGGAAGACCAAGGGUUCCUGUCCAACGUUAAUCGGGGCAGGGUAAGUCGACUCCUAAGGCGAGGCCGAAAGGCGUAGUCGAUGGGAAACGGGUUAAUAUUCCCGUACUUCUUACAAUUGCGAUGGGGGGACGGAGAAGGCUAGGUGGGCCUGGCGACGGUUGUCCAGGUUCAAGUAUGUAGGCGGGUGGUUUAGGUAAAUCCGGACCGCUACUAACGCUGAGAUACGAUGUCGAGCUACUACGGUAGUGAAGUCAUUGAUGCCAUGCUUCCAGGAAAAGCCUCUAAGCUUCAGAUUGUAAGGAAUCGUACCCCAAACCGACACAGGUGGUCGGGUAGAGAAUACCAAGGCGCUUGAGAGAACUCGGGUGAAGGAACUAGGCAAAAUGGUACCGUAACUUCGGGAGAAGGUACGCUCUUAUCAGUGAAGUCCCUUGCGGAUGGAGCAGACGAGAGUCGCAGAUACCAGGUGGCUGCAACUGUUUAUUAAAAACACAGCACUGUGCAAAAUCGUAAGAUGACGUAUACGGUGUGACGCCUGCCCGGUGCCGGAAGGUUAAUUGAUGGGGUUAGACUUCGGUCGAAGCUCUUGAUCGAAGCCCCGGUAAACGGCGGCCGUAACUAUAACGGUCCUAAGGUAGCGAAAUUCCUUGUCGGGUAAGUUCCGACCUGCACGAAUGGCGUAAUGAUGGCCACGCUGUCUCCACCCGAGACUCAGUGAAAUUGAAAUCGCUGUGAAGAUGCAGUGUACCCGCGGCUAGACGGAAAGACCCCGUGAACCUUUACUACAGCUUGGCACUGAACAUUGAACCUACAUGUGUAGGAUAGGUGGGAGACUUUGAAACCGCGUCGCUAGAUGUGGUGGAGUCGUCCUUGAAAUACCACCCUUGUAGUUUUGAUGUUCUAACGUUGGUCC